AUUGAACGCUGGCGGCAGGCUUAACACAUGCAAGUCGAACGAGUGGCGGACGGGUGAGUAAUGCCUGUGAAACUUCCUGCUGGAGGGGGAUAACUACUGGAAACGGUAGCUAAUACCGCAUAACAUAGGAUGUGCCCACAUGGGAUUAGCUAGUUGGUGGGGUAAAGGCUAACCGAGCCGACGAUCCCUAGCUGGUCUGAGAGGAUGACCAGCCACCUGGGAAAUGAGACACGGUCCAGACUCCUACGGGAGGCAGCAGUGGGGAAUAUUGCGCAAUGGGCGCAACCCUGACGCAGCCAUGCCGCGUGUAUGAAGAAGGCCUUCGGGUGUUAAAGUACUUUCGGCGGGGAGGCGUUAUCUGCAGAAGAAGCACCGGCUAACUCCGUGCCAGCAGCCGCGGUAAUAC
rnacentral:rRNA from 1 species